rfam:Human rhinovirus 87 5' untranslated region, partial sequence.
AUGAGACGCUAGACAUGAACAAGGUGUGAAGAGUUUAUUGAGCUACUAUAGAGUCCUCCGGCCCCUGAAUGCGGCUAAUCCUAACCAUGGAGCAAGUGCUCACAAACCAGUGGGUUGCUUGUCGUAACGCGCAAGUCCGUGGCGGAACCGACUACUUUGGGUGUCCGUGUUUCACUUUUUACUUUUAUGACUGCUAAUGGUGACAAUUUAAUAUUGUUACCAUUUGGCUUGUCAAAUUGAUCACAUA